rnacentral:rRNA from 1 species
CCCUACUUGCUUAAGACCGGGGGCGGAUAGUAAACCUCUUGGGUCCGGGGCGACCCGCCCCUUUCUAAUUUAGAGGGCCCCUGACGGUCCCGUAACAAUAAGCCCCGGCUAACUACGUGCCAGCAGCCGCGGCAAUACGUAUGGUGCGAGCGUUAAUCGGAAUUACUGGGCGUAAAGCGUGCGCAGGCGGCCCUAUAAAACCGAUAUGAAAUCCCCGGGCUCAACCUGGGAAUGGCAUUCGUGACUGCACAGCUAGAGUAUGGUAGAGGGGAAUGGAAUUCCUAGUGUAGCAAUCACAUGCGUAAAUAUGUGGACGAACACCGAUGGCGAAGGCAAUCCCCUGAACCUGUACUGACACUCAUGAACGAAAUCCUGGGGAGCACACAGGAUUAGAUACCCUGGUAGUCCACUCCCUAAACUAUGUCCACUGUUUGUCGGGUCCCAUAACUACUCAUUUAACCAACCUAACACGUGAAAUUUAACGCCCUGUGCACUACGGUCCCCCAGGUUCAAACUCAAA